AAGUCGUAACAAGGUUUCCGUAGGUGAACCUGCGGAAGGAUCAUUACCGAGUUAGGGUUUACCUUUUUAGGUGCCCGACCUCCCAACCCUUUGUCUAUGAUACCUAUUGUUGCUUCGGCCCGCCCGAGGACCCCUAAACUCUGUUUUUAGUGGAACUUCUGAGUAAAACAAACAAAUAAAUCAAAACUUUCAACAACGGAUCUCUUGGUUCUG
rnacentral:misc_RNA from 1 species